AGGGAAUUAAGCUUAGACUUUGAAUUUGAGAGGAUUGUGGUGAAAAAAACAAACAAACAUAAACACACCAUCGUUCAUUGUAAAGGUCGCCCAACAAAACAUAACAACAACAUAAUGACUUGUGAUCAUUUGUCACAGUUUUCAGAGUUUAAAGAACCGUCUGGAUUCUGUAAAUCUCACAGUUAAAGCCUGCUUGCUGUGUUUCCUGGUUUUCUGAGCAAAGAUGAGAAACCUGCAGUCUGUCCUCUCACUUUCAUUCAGGAAGAGCAGAGCAGAGUCAGGAAGAGGAACCGAGGAAGACAGGAAGAAGGAGCCUGGCUGAGAACUGUGUUCAGGUGUGAGCACUACAGCUGCAGCACAACUGUGGACUCCACCCUGAUGAUUGUUUGAGACAACCUGAGAUGGAUGCUGGGAAAUCUGUGAUAUUCUGCUGGAUUCUGGUCGUCUGCUUUUCACUGGCUGCAUAUGCAGACCAGAAAACGAUCACAGCUGAGUCUGGACAGAACGUCACUCUGACAUGUCGAGCUGCAAACAACAACAUCAUUGUUGUUGUAGAGUGGAGCAGAGCUGAUCUGGAGCCAGAUUAUGUCCUCCUGUACCGUGAUGAGCGGUUUGAUCCAGAAAACCAGCAUCUAUCUUUUAAGAACCGGGUGGAUCUGCAGGACAGACAGAUGAAGGAUGGAGACGUGUCUUUGAUUCUGAAGGAUGUGACGAGUGCUGAUAAUGGAACAUAUGAGUGUCGUGUCUUCAUGAGAGGAGCAAACCGCAGGAAGAGAGCUCAUCUGAAGACUGAGCCCAUCACCACCAUCAGGUUAAAUGUUCUUCCAGGUGAGUGGUGAAAAGAGGUGAAGCUGCUUCCUGGUUGUUGAUGUUUGUUUCUAAAGAUGUUGUUGAUGAGACUUUGUAGAAAGCAGCUGGUCUGAGUGAUGUGAUCAGAGUGCAGUAGAUAAUGUCUGACAGCAGUUUGAAGAGGAAAUGGAUUCUGUUCUGUUCUUCACUCAUCACCUACCUGACAGCUGACACCUCACACCUGUUUCUCACCUGCAGGUCAGACAGGAGGACACACAGAGGAUGGAGGGAAGGAGGAUGAAGGGAAGGAGGAUGGAUCUGUUGGAGUGAUCGUUGGUGUGGUAGUUGCUGUUGUCCUUCUUGUUGUUGUUGGUGUUGGUUUGUUGAUCUACAGAAAGCUUAAAGAGCAUGACUGUCAGCCAGUUUGAAACUUAGACUAAACAUUUAUUUAUUCCAAAUAGAUAAUAAAUUUUGUGCUUAAAGAAUGUAGUGUUUUUUCCCCCAAUCAUGUAAGUGAAACAGGAGCAGACUGAAAUGUCACAUGUGCCAUCAAGAAGUGCCAAAAUAAGAUUUUCAUGAAUUUUUUAUAUUUUCUUUUAUCUUUAUGCAAAACAUCAAUAAACAGUCCAGCAGAUAUGUUCAGGUUUCAUGUUUAAACAUUGAUUAUAAAGUUUUUAAAGAAAUACAACUGAUCCAAAGAUAAAUUAAGAGGUUUAGUCUUAUAGCAGACUAAACCUCUCUUUAUACUGUGAGCUGUUUCUGCUACUUCCUGUUCUCGACCUCCUGCUGAGCUAACGUCUCAUGUGAUCAGGUAGAGGCUAAUUAGGGGGUCACUCCCCUACACUCCCACAGGGCUUAAAUCUGGGACUCUCCACCAUUUGCUCUUAGAACUGAAGAAGCUUCUCAGAUGAGAAGUGAAACGUCUUCAAGCAGCUCAAACAAGUCCAGACACUUUUCUUUCCAAGCUUCUUAAAGUACGAUGACCUGGAUGACUGAGAACCUUCACAGACAAUGUCUCUGUAACUUUACCUUUAGUUUCCAACUACCUGCUGCUUCACUUUAAACAGAUAAAACACUCAUGUUUAUAUAUAUAUAUAUAUAUAUAUAUAUACAUAUAUAUAUAUGUAUAUAUAUAUAUAAAAAGCUUCUAAUGUUUCUCAUAUGCAGCUUUAAGCACUGCACACACUUCUUAACUUUGUUGCAGCACACUGUAUUUAAUAUAUUUACUAUUGUAACGUGUAUUACAUCUAAUGUGGAUGAUGAGUAAGAUUCACGUUAAUUUUUUAUGUAAAAAUGAAGCUGUUGACUCAGUUCAUGCAGUUUGCAGCGACUUUCUGUUUCUAAUGUUUUUACUGUAAAAGUGCAUUCAGAUGGUGUUUGUUGUUUCCUGGUGCUUCAUGAUUAAUCCUGCAGUGAAACUGAAUAAUCUGAGCUGGACUCAAACAUACCACACUGAGCAGACGAACCAAGAAUCAAACUGCAUUAAAACCUGAUGGAAAACCUGCUCACUGACUUUCUCCCACUUUGACUGAAACUGUAUCCAGAGACUCGAUUUAAAGAUUAAUUAUUAUUAUUGUUGUACAACAUCUGCAC
ensembl:lncRNA